GUUUGGGGGGCUUCUCAGGAGAGACCGGGAGAAGAUGGACAUGCUGGAAGCGCUCCGGUCGAUCACCUAGGGUCGUCCCGAGUGGCGAGUCGAGGGGGUCAGAGUGGAUCGCAGGGUGAAGAGAGAAGACCCUGCAUAUUUCAGCUCCAACUGUGUGCACGAAGAAACUGAACUUUGAUAACUCAGAGCCACCUGGACCAAAAGUACCUCUGCUCACCCAUCUCUGGCUUCAUAUGCACCAUCAAUUUGAAGUGCUUCAUGGAUGUGGCUUCAGCUCCUGAGCUCAGGAAGCUCAGGAAUUCCUCUGGUUCAUGGACAUUUUGGAAUUCUGUUGGUGCUGAGGAAGAAGCUAGUUCUGAUGAAGUGACUUGGCCCGAAACGGUGACUGUUUAUUCUUUUCCAUAGAUGUUGCCUGGCCUGCUGAGUUCCUCUGGCAUUUUGUGUGCGCUACUUGAAAUGCACGCCUGGUUUCCUUCAGAAAAUGCAGGAUAAAGACCCUGUGACCACAACAAGGAGCUGUCCGUUCGUUGGUCGACCCUAGUGUCAAGCCUCCUCUCCAAUUCUUGACAACAUGAAUGAACCAAAGAUUGACUCAACAGAGUAUGCACACAUUUCAGGCCAAAACUCUUCAUCAGGACUGACUACAUUUUGAUAAGAGUGGAGGCAAGGAUAUUCAGAGACCGACGUUCCAUUGUACAUAAUUCACUCAAAACCAAUAUGCAGAUGGAACAAAUAGGAAGCUAAAGAGUAUACAAGCCUUUGCUCUGAGAUGGUUUGUCUACAAGAGUAAAGGUGCCCUACUACAGAUCAAUGGGACCUUGGUGACUGCCACACCCCCUGUGGGAACUGCAGCUUGAUUAUGUCCAAUCAUCACCGGUGUCUUGGUAUGCCUCAUCUCCCAUCUUCAGAAUGCUUGAAUCCAUCCACCUGUGUAAAGUUAAUGCAAGCAAGGGAGAACACAAGGACACAAUGUAAUAGAAGCAGGAGAAGACCAUCAGAUCCACCAUUCAACAGGAUCGCAGUUGAUCUAUGCUGGGCUCUACUUCUCUUCUGUGCCUGUUCCCCAGAACACUCAAUUCCUUGAUCUUUCUAACAUUUAUCUAUCUCCAAAUUGUCAUGGAGGGUCAAGUUGUCUCUCAGUGGGAGGAUGCCAUUUUAAGAGGGAUGCUUUGUACUUUAUGGUUUUGAGGUUCUUGAGAGUUGCAUCUAGGCAGAGCAGUGGACCUCCUGACUUGUCCCUUAUUUUAAUUGUCAGGAGAUGAAUCAUGUAUUGCACCAGACUCUGACACAGUGUAUGACAUCAUCAUGGAGCGCCAUAAUAUUUACAUAGCUGGUUCGAGAUUUCUGGUCAGCAGCAACCCUACAUAUUGAUGCUGGGGAUCUCAGCAAUUGAAUGUCAAAGAUGUAGCUGGAGAGCAUUCCGACUUGCUGUAUCACAGCCUGGCUCCAAUAACCAGGAUUACAAGAGGUUACAGAGGGUUGUAGACUCAGUCAUCUUCAUCAUGGGCAGAGGCCCUCUCAUCGUCAAGGAAAUUUUCAAGAGAUGGAGUCUCACAAGAAAGGGGCCUCCAUCACUAAGACACUCACUAUCAGGAUACGUACUCUUUUUAUUACUACCAUCAGGAGCCUGAAGACCCACACUCAACAAUUCUGCAGCAGCUUCUACCCCUUCGCAAUCAGGUUUCAGAACGGUCCAUGAACACAUGAAUACCACCCUGUCAAUUCUUUGUAUGGUGCUAUGUGUUUUUGUAUGUCAUCAUAAUUUUGUGCCUUCACACUGUACUGCAGUCGCAAAACAACAAAUUUCAUCUCUUCGAAAUCACUGUUAAGAGAUCUGAGUCUGAUUCUGAUGAAGAUCUCUCAGUUUGUCCAGUCAGUCAUGGAUUUUCUCAUUAGGCAAGCCAAUACCUCCUCAAAGAUGCCAAUUACAGUGGGUUUCAGGCAUUCCAUGAAGAUGUGCAGACAUUCUGACAACUUCAGGUUGGAAAAUUCCCCUGAGAAGAAAUCAAUGUAAAGAGACAGGUUCCACCUCAGUGCUAGAUUUAUUCCUCACUCUGAAAAUCUCUCUGAUAUGAGCUAACAGAUGCCAAUCCGUUAUGUUAAUUGUUGAACAUUGACUGAUGUAAGUUCAGCACCUCAUAUUUCGUUCAUGCUGAGAUACAUACUAGGAUGUGUUGUGUCACAUCGUCAGUGAUGUAACCUAGGUCAUCAGAUGUUUUGGGUCUUUCAAUAUCAGAUGCUCUCACUAGGGUGACCCAACUAGGGUUGAUCUGACCCUGGAUUGCAUCCAGGCAGUAUUUGUCCAUUGCUUGCACCUCUUAAUCCAUCAUGGAGGCUCACUCAGCAGCCUCAGUGAUGGUCCUAAUGGAUCUUUUCUUUGCAGCCCCCAUAAUGCCGAGGAAAGACUAAGCCCUGCCCAAUGAGCAGCCAGAAAACCUCUACACGCCAUUCCUAUUGGCUCACAUUGUGACCCCCCCCCCACCUCUUCCUCUGGCACUGGUCUACUAGCUCCUGGUAUCUGGCUUCCUGCACUCAAUCCAGUCUUCCAAAGGAACUGUCACUUCUACCAUGACUACCUGCUUUGAGACUUCUGACAGAAUGACCAUGCUAAUUAUUGUUUGGCACCUGUCAAUGUGACAACCUUUUGUGAGUAUGAAGUUUAUUUUUAAAUAAAAGUUAUAUUGGGGUCUUGUGUGUGUUGUUCACAGUGCUGCUCCGUGGAGUAGAUAGAGUUUAUUGUGUGCUCGUUCUUGUCUUAUUUCAUUCUGGGGCAAUGACUAAGCCAGUUCCAUCAGGAGCCCAUCUGUCAUUAAGGAGAUUCACCAUCCUCAACAUAGCCUGUUCUUGUUACUAUCAUCAGGGAGGAGAUACAGGAGCCACAAGUUCCUCCCCUCUACCAUCACAUUUCUGAAUGGUCCCUAAGCUCAUGCACACUACCUCAUUAUUCACUUGGAUUUCCCAUUCAUCCUCUUCCACCUGCCCAUUUUGCCCCUUCACCUGGCUAACCUAUCAUUUGCCAGACUGUGCUCCUUCCCUUCCCUUCCCCCAACCUUUUUUAUUCUGGCUCUGCCCCCUUCCUUUCCAGAACUGAAGAAAGAUCUCAGUCCAAAAUAUUAACUGUUCAUUUCACUGCAUAAGUGCUGUCUGAC